rnacentral:piRNA from 1 species
UCACGGCAUUUAACACCGAAU